ACACACACACACACACACACACACACACACAAAGACGUAUUUUAAAAUAUUCUGUGACGAACUGUGUGAAUAACUGAUUCGCUUGGUUAUGUAUUUGUCACCCAGUCAAGGCAUUUGUCAAAUGGCUACCAUGUGCCGGAUGCUGGUGGACAAUGAUGAACAAGACCGUGUCUUUGCUGCUAACAAGCUCAUAGUCUUGAGGAGAGAGAGAGCACCAUCUGGGAAGACGUCUCUUACCACAUGGAAGAAGAAAAAGCCACCCUGAAUGUUGGCAGUUGAUCUCUAUAAUGGCAAAGUCAUACUCAUUUGUUUGACACUUGAUGUUUUGACAAUCUCUCCACAUGCAUUUUAUCUUUGGAUCUCUGCAACAACCCAGUGAGGAAGCCUGGGAAAGGCGAAGCUGAUGGGACAGAGGGAUUGUGUGACAGGCCUAGAAUCACAGGUGAGCGGCAGAAGGCGGUUUGGAAGGGCACUUGGCUGACUCCAGACUCAAUGCUUAGCUUGUGCACUGAACCUCUUCACCCCCAUCUCAUCUGGUCAAGGCCGACUUAUCCUUCCGUCUUUGCUCAACUGCCAUUUCUUUAGGAAAUAUCCCUGCUCUUCUGAAUGGAUCAAAUCCUGCUAUUGUCCGUUUUCACUACCCCCUUCCUCUCUGGCAUCAUCACUAGGAUUUUACACUCAAUUAAUCACAAUCAGUAAUCAGUUGUUGACUGUUGACUCCAGGAAGUCAGGGCCCAUUGAAUUUUUAGCUCAUUAUUAUAUUUCUCUUUGCCUAAUGAAGUGCUUGUCAGUUAGUAAAUGCUCAAUAAUUAUUUAGCUACUAAUGAAUAUAUAGAUCUGUAUAUCUUUGACAAGAGUGUGAUUAUUCUGUACCUCUGCUGCUUCCUGCACAGCCCCCACUUGGGACUGAGCCCACAAUCUGGGCAUGUGCCCUGAGCGGGAAUUGGACCAUAACCCUUUGGUUCAUAGGUUGACGGUCAACCAUUGAGCCAUGCUAGUGGGUGGGAAUAAAAGCUUUAUACUACUCUGACUAACCCAUGAAAUGGAAUUAGAAUAAAAUACACGAAUGAACUGGUGAAGGAACUCAUAUUGACAGUUUCCUUAUAAGCAUGUUACAGGCAGCAGCAGUUCCAGUUCCCCUUUUGCUGGCCUCGACCAUAGGAGUAUAGCAGGUGCCAAUGGCUGGCCAGGCCUGCAACAUCCUGUACCCAGAGAUCAUCACUGAAACUGGCAGAGAGAAAAACAAACAAACAAACAAAAAACAAACACCAGAUGCUGACACACACUGAAGAGAAUAUCAAAACCACCUGAUAGCUGGAAUUCGAAACUGCAUACCACCAGAAUUCCUUAGUUCCCCUCUCCCCACAAACCCCCUAUUAAAGCCUUUUGCCUGCCCUGAGAUGUGAAGGCAUGAGCCUGCCAGCUUUUCAGGUGGUUACCUGAAGA